rnacentral:rRNA from 1 species
CCUACGGGAGGCAGCAGUGAGGAAUAUUGGUCAAUGGACGAGAGUCUGAACCAGCCAAGUAGCGUGAAGGAUGACUGCCCUAUGGGUUGUAAACUUCUUUUAUAUGGGAAUAAAAUGUUCCACGUGUGGGAUGUUGUAUGUACCAUAUGAAUAAGGAUCGGCUAACUUCGUGCCAGCAGCCGGGGUAAUAAGGAGGGUUCGAGCGUUAUCCGGAUUUAUUGGGUUUAAAGGGAGCGUAGGUGGAUUGUUAAGUCCGUUGUGAAAGUUUGCGGCUCAAACGUAAAAUUGCAGUUGAAACUGGCAGUCUUGAGUACAGUAGAGGUGGGCGGAAUGCGUGGUGUAGCGGUGAAAUGCUUAGAUAUCACGAAGAACUCCGAUUGCGAAGGCAGCUCACUGGACUGCAACUGACACUGAGGCUCGAAAGUGUGGGUAUCAAACAGGAUUAGAUACCCUUGUAGUC